AGUGAACGCUGGCGGUAGGCCUAACACAUGCAAGUCGAACGGCAGCACAGUAAGAGCUUGCUCUUACGGGUGGUGAGUGGCGGACGGGUGAGGAAUACAUCGGGAUCUACUUUUUCGUGGGGGAUAACGUAGGGAAACUUACGCUAAUACCGCAUACGACCUACGGGUGAAAGCAGGGGAUCUUCGGACCUUGCGCGAUUGAAUGAGCCGAUGUCGGAUUAGCUAGUUGGCGGGGUAAAGGCCCACCAAGGCGACGAUCCGUAGCUGGUCUGAGAGGAUGAUCAGCCACACUGGAACUGAGACACGGUCCAGACUCCUACGGGAGGCAGCAGUGGGGAAUAUUGGACAAUGGGCGCAAGCCUGAUCCAGCCAUACCGCGUGGGUGAAGAAGGCCUUCGGGUUGUAAAGCCCUUUUGUUGGGAAAGAAAAGCAGCAGGUUAAUACCCCGCUGUUCUGACGGUACCCAAAGAAUAAGCACCGGCUAACUUCGUG
rnacentral:rRNA from 1 species